GUGCCCGUAAUCUUGGUUGCAGAGUUUGAAAAAAAAAAGGUUUUGUUUGCUUUACGUUCUUAAUUCUUAUGGCCAAUUUUGACCUUUCAAGAAAGCCAGAGAUGUUUGCCGGACUGCAGUUCACCAGCUCUCCGGUCACCAGCUGCCGUGUUUAGGAAAGGCAAAGGGAUGAGUUUACAAGAAUGAGAUUGCAGCUUAGAAUUCCUGCAAUUGAAAGGGUUUUAUUUUUUACAUGUGAAGAUUCUAUACAGUAUUUUGAAAAUGGAUUUCAUAUUCUUAAAGUUCUUUCCAACUGCUGAGGAGUCAAUGAAUUACUAUAAUGAGAAAUGAUGUGUUGAUGGAAAAGGACUUGUUCUGCCCAGUCAGAUUGUAAAAGGUAUGUCAAAUAUUAUAUAUGGAGGGACCAAAUCCAGUUUCAAGUGCACAAGGAAGCACGUCAGAAAAUUCAGAUUUCUUCAAGGACUUGAAACAGAUUCAGCAACUGUGAAAAAAAAUCAGACAAGCGAUUGACAACCAAACUGAAGUUACUGUACAACUCAUUAAUUAUACAAAGACCGGUAAGCAAGUCUAAUGUUUCUGCACAGAAAACUAAUUUAAUAGGCAAAGUUAAUAUAAAAUGAUAGGAAAUGUUAGCAAUUUUUUCCCUUAUUAGCACUAUUUAGUUCAUUAAAAGGAAACAAAAUACUAUGAAGCUCGGUAGUGCUGCAGUUAUUAUUCCUAUUAUCUUUAACCUA